CUUGUUCUAGUUAUGCUCUAAGUUUACUUGAAUUUCUCCAUUCUCAGCUUCUGUAUAAAAUUCAAGAGAAGUUGCAUCAAGAUCUCAACGACUUCAUACUUCAUAUUAAUAACAAUAAGUUAUAUUUAAAAUGCCAUUAGUAGGAGUUCUUUGUGCAUGUAAAUCUAAACAAUCCCAAGCUUUUAUAAUCAAAUCAUGAUUAUAUUGUUGAAGUUAGGAUGCUUGUAAGCUUGUAGCAACAUGUUCAUAAUUUUAGCACUGUUUUUAAGGAAGGUUAGGAAGCAGUCUGAAGCACUUAUGGGAGCCGAAACUUUUAGAGGAAACAAGGAAUCUAUAAAAUUCCAAAUGGUAAAAAAUUCCAAAAAUAGAGAAUUCAGAUAUAAUACAUUGCUGCUAUUCACAUCGGCAUGGUCCUAGACACUCCCACCAGUGUAAUACCCAUACGACAUUGCCCAUGCCGGUGGAAGAACUGUGGUUAAAUAUUUAUGGGAAAUGAAAGAAAGGGAAAGGAGACUAUUCUUCAUUCCUCGUGAUCAGUACUACACACCAUCAGAUACCUUCAGCUUUG
rnacentral:lncRNA from 1 species